CUGGCCCUCUCUGCCCUUCCG
rnacentral:ncRNA from 11 species